AACGAACGCUGGCGGCAUGCCUAACACAUGCCAGUCGAACGAGACCUUCGGGUCUAGUGGCGCACGGGUGCGUAACGCGUGGGAACCUGCCCUUAGGUUCGGAAUAACUCCCCGAAAGGGGUGCUAAUACCGGAUAAAGUCUUCGGACCAAAGAUUUAUCGCCUUUGGAUGGGCCCGCGUUGGAUUAGCUAGUUGGUAGGGUAAAAGCCUACCAAGGCGACGAUCCAUAGCUGGUCUGAGAGGAUGAUCAGCCACACUGGGACUGAGACACGGCCCAGACUCCUACGGGAGGCAGCAGUGGGGAAUAUUGGACAAUGGGCGAAAGCCUGAUCCAGCAAUGCCGCGUGAGUGAUGAAGGCCUUAGGGUUGUAAAGCUCUUUUACCCGGGAUGAUAAUGACAGUACCGGGAGAAUAAGCUCCGGCUAACUCCGUG
rnacentral:rRNA from 1 species